rnacentral:sRNA from 1 species
UUCUAUGUUUUUGGAUAACUGAAAGUCAAAGCACUUAACUAGACGCGAUGGCAUGGGACCGCAACCCCAACAUUUGGGAGGUGGAGGUGGGAAGGUCAGGAGUUUAAUCUUGUCCUCCUUGGCUAAACAUUGAGUGUGAAGCCAGCCAUGCUGCCCAGGAACUCCAUUGUUUCAGAGUUGGCAGAAAAGCAGAUGUUCAGAACCCAAGAGAAAGAACUGGUUGUCUCCAGCCAGUGAGUGGUAAGCAGGCGUUCUGGAGGUAAGGAGGAUUUAGAAGGCUCACGGACAACCUCUGAACUCCCUGGACACCAGAAUCAGCAGGGGCCAAGAACAGGUUGUGAGACAUUAUUUUUUCCCACUUGCCUAAGAUAAUACAGACUUAUUUUUUCCCCAUCAACCACUUGGCUCCUAUUCUGCUGUAAGUACCUUAAAGCAAGAUGGUUGAUGUGAUAAAGUAUUUGAGCCAUUCUGUGCACAAGGCCUUAAAUACUGUAUUGCCCCAUAGAAAGAAUUUACUGUGAAAUGCAAGGUAGCCAGAAUGAGGGAUGGGAUGCACAGUGGUCUCGUGAACUUGUGUUUCUGUAGAAACCUAAUAGCCUUCCAUUUGUUGGGAGCCAGCCCAGGCUAUCAACACACUUAGGUCUUAAGACUUCACGUUUCUUUACAGAUAGUCUCUCGUGCUCAAGCUAGGCUUGAAUGGUGUAUCCUGAAACCCACAUUCUACCUCGUCUCAGUAAAAACUGAAAUCAACUUUCUGCAAACAAUGAAAGUCAUAACCCCGAGGAAGCCAUAAGUAACUAAAAAAGCAAAGUGUCCUCACAAAGUAGUGUUUGGGACCGAGAAAGCUGUGGAAUGUUCGUUGUUGGAUAUGUUAUAAGACAUCUUUGUAAUUCACAUCUAGAAAGGAGAAGAAGGCAAGGGAUAGGUGUAGUGAAGGAAGCCGAAAAGUCUCCUUUAUUCUGGUCUCACCUUCUGCUUUACACAGACAAGCUCAGUGUAGGAAUGUGGUUCAAAGACACCUAGGCAGACUCAGAGACAGCACAUACAGUUGUUAAGAAUUACUGUUGACAUCUGGAGGACCGGAGCUCUUCAGCAGAUCCAUUCCUGCGUUUAUGUUGAACCUGACUGUCUUCGCUGUACAGAUGCCCCUCACUAGUCUCCAUUCUGCCCAGCCAUUGGGUGAUCAGCGUUCAUUGACAAGGCACAGAAUAAAUGGUAAGAACUGUUUACACAAACUUGAGACAAGAGAUACUUGGUAUAAGCAUUACAAUGCCAUGUCUGGAUUGAAACAAGAUCCAGGGGCAGAGAAAACAGCAUUUAAUCUUAUUCCGAAGAGAUUUAAAAACAGACUCAUUAGGAUACCCAAGGGCAAUUUUAUUAGCAUUUGAGAGAAAGCAACAGAACGAGCUCAGAGGAGAUGAAAAGAUUGAAGAGAAAUGGUCUCCUGGUGUGUGAGUUAGGCUAGUGUGUUUAGCAGCAGAAGCUUAGCCAGUAGUCACAGGACAGCAAGCAGCUACAUGGCCAAAAAAAAAAAAA